UACGUAGGGUGCAAGCGUUGUCCGGAAUUAUUGGGCGUAAAGAGCUCGUAGGCGGUUUGUCGCGUCUGCUGUGAAAACUCGGGGCUUAACUCCGGGCUUGCAGCCGAUACGGGCAGGCUAGAGUUCGGUAGGGGAGACUGGAAUUCCUGGUGUAGCGGUGAAAUGCGCAGAUAUCAGGAGGAACACCGGUGGCGAAGGCGGAUCUCUGGGCCUUACCUGACGCUGAGGAGCGAAAGCAUGGGGAGCAAACAGG
rnacentral:rRNA from 1 species